rnacentral:rRNA from 1 species
GAUGAACGCUGGCGGCGUGCCUAAUACAUGCAAGUCGAGCGAACAGAUGAGGAGCUUGCUCCUCUGACGUUAGCGGCGGACGGGUGAGUAACACGUGGAUAACCUACCUAUAAGACUGGGAUAACUUCGGGAAACCGGAGCUAAUACCGGAUAAUAUAUUGAACCGCAUGGUUCAAUAGUGAAAGACGGUUUUGCUGUCACUUCUAGAUGGAUCCGCGCCGCAUUAGCUAGUUGGUAAGGUAACGGCUUACCAAGGCAACGAUGCGUAGCCGACCUGAGAGGGUGAUCGGCCACACUGGAACUGAGACACGGUCCAGACUCCUACGGGAGGCAGCAGUAGGGAAUCUUCCGCAAUGGGCGAAAGCCUGACGGAGCAACGCCGCGUGAGUGAUGAAGGUCUUCGGAUCGUAAAACGCUGUUAUUAGGGAAGAACAAAUGUGUAAGUAACUAUGCACGUCGUGACGGUACCUAAUCAGAAAGCCACGGCUAACUACGUG